UACGAAGGGUGCAAGCGUUACUCGGAAUUACUGGGCGUAAAGCGUGCGUAGGUGGUUUGUUAAGUCUGUUGUGAAAGCCCCGGGCUCAACCUGGGAAUGGCAAUGGAUACUGGCAAGCUAGAGUGCGGUAGAGGGUAGUGGAAUUCCCGGUGUAGCGGUGGAAUGCGUAGAGAUCCGGAAGAACACCAGUGGCGAAGGCGGCCCGCUGGGCAGUGGCUGACGCUGAGGCGCGCAGGCGUGG
rnacentral:rRNA from 1 species